rnacentral:sRNA from 1 species
AUAUAAAAACAUCAAAAUAAUACAAUGCAAAACAGUACUAUUGUAAAUAUUGAUUUUUCCACAACAAAUCUAUAAUAUUAUCUCUUAUUUGUGUUAUAUGUUCUCCGUCUACUACUUCAGCUGCUUCCAGGUCAUCUAAAUCAUGUUCUUAAUCAGUGUUGUUUACUUCAGGCUCUAUCAUUACUUCUGCGAAAUCUGCAUCUGAAAAGUUUGAAAUCUUGUUGAAAUUGUGUAAUCCCAUUGUCGCCAUUACCACUCUCUUUUGAACAUAUAUACUAUAUAUUGGAAAAUCACAAAGAAUCCUUCAUUUUUCUUUCCAAACUCCAAAUGUCCUCUCGAUAAUAACAUAGUGAAGCAUGACAUCGAUUAAACAAUUCUUGUUUAUUCCUCGGAGGUGGACCAGAAUUGAACUAAAGAACCUUAUUUAUUUGGAUAUACUGAAUCAACGGCAUAAUAAUUCUCUAACGAGGUAAAGGGAACUCAGAAUCGCUUGUUUGUGCCAUUUCUAGGACAGCUGUAUCUUGACAUGCUCUCGGUGCUCCAUUCCAAAUUUAUGUGAACAACGUAUUCAAAUCACAUAUAGCCAUGAUGUUCAAAGAUAAAUUAUCGUGUUGAUUCUAAUACAUUCCUCGUAACUCAUGCUUCACUUUUACACAAACGUUUGUUUCAUCUAUUGCUCCGAUAAAUCCACUAAAAUAUGGCCAGUAUCUUCAAUCUACUUGAAGUGUCUCAGGAAUUCGAUGUAGUUCUUGAGUUGUUAGAGUUUGUAUAUAUUCACAUCCUAGUAAUUCAGUUGUUGUAAGAACUUCUCCAAAUUUUCUCUUCACGGUUUCCUAAUUUCAGCCAAAUCUCAAACCAACAUCUCUUUGAACUUCAUUGUGCCCACAUAUUCGUAAAAGAAUGGCCACAUUUUCUUCAAUACUUACAUUUAACGUUUGUUGUUGACCAUAAUUUGUUUGUACAAUAUUGCACAAUAUCUACAAGAAGAUAGGCUAUUUUCAACGAACAAAAUCGUCGGAAAAACAUCGGAAACAGCCGUUUCGACGAAUUUUCGACGACAUAGAUUGGUCGAUUUUGAUCUUGUUGGAAAUCUGAAUGUCAUUGCAAGAGUAUUAGAAAUUACCGACGUGUUUCCGACGAGGCAUUUUCCGACAAUUUCUCUACGCUUUUCAGACAAUAACAUUGGUUGGGAAACCGGUUGGAACAUAGUCGGAAAUGAUCGUCGGAUCCCCGUCGGAAAUAUUUUCUGACAAUUUCUCUACGCUUUUCUGACAAUACAUUGGUUUCGAAACCGGUUGGAACAUAGUCGGAAAUGAUCGUCAGAUAGUCUUCGGAAAUAUUUUCUAACAAUUUCUCUACGCUUUUCUGACAAUACAUUGGUUUGGAAACCGGUUAGAACAUAGUCGGAAAUGAUCGUCGGAUCCUCGUCGGAAAUAUGUUGCGACAAUUUUCUAACGAAUAUUGUUGACAGGCAUUGCAUCAGAACGUUGUUGAAAAUUGGUCGGUAUAUUCUUCUGACGAUUUCCCCACAACGUUAUUCCCGAGUGAUUACCGACGAUGUAUUUCCGACGGGUUACCGACGUUGUUCGUAUUUCUAACGGGUCUAAUUUAAU